GAUGAACGCUGGCGGCGUGCCUAAUACAUGCAAGUCGAGCGAACAGACGAGGAGCUUGCUCCUCUGACGUUAGCGGCGGACGGGUGAGUAACACGUGGAUAACCUACCUAUAAGACUGGGAUAACUUCGGGAAACCGGAGCUAAUACCGGAUAAUAUAUUGAACCGCAUGGUUCAAUAGUGAAAGACGGUUUUGCUGUCACUUAUAGAUGUAUCCGCGCCGCAUUAGCUAGUUGGUAAGGUAACGGCUUACCAAGGCAACGAUGCGUAGCCGACCUGAGAGGGUGAGCGGCCACACUGGAACUGAGACACGGUCCAGACUCCUACGGGAGGCAGCAGUAGGGAAUCUUCCGCAAUGGGCGAAAGCCUGACGGAGCAACGCCGCGUGAGUGAUGAAGGUCUUCGGAUCGUAAAACUCUGUUAUUAGGGAAGAACAAAUGUGUAAGUAACUAUGCACGUCUUGACGGUACCUAAUCAGAAAGCCACGGCUAACUACGUG
rnacentral:rRNA from 1 species